rnacentral:rRNA from 1 species
ACAUCAGUGUCAGCUUGAUCGAUCACGUCGGAUCAGCAGUCAGUGAUCGAUGCAUCAUUAGCUCGUUCAGAGACAAGUCGUAACUGAUUGAGGGUAUCAUUUGACUCAGUUAAUAAUGAUUAUGGAUAGAGCAGGCAAAUCCAUCCCCCCAGUAAGAGAAUAAUCGCUUCGUCUCACAAGUGCACAGGUGUUGAUGAAAAGAAAGUGUGCACAUACUCCAAACCUUUAGAGGAGAGAAGCCAGCUACAACCAACUCUAGAAUCAUUUCAAUAAAUAUAUCCCUUUCUCGUGUGGGUGCCUGCGGAAGGRYYAYYWAUGNNNNNNAUCUAGAGUUGGUUGUAGCUGGCUUCUCUCCUCCUAGAGGUUUGGAGUAUGUGCACACCUUCUCUUUCAUCCACACACCCCUUGUGCACUUGUGAGACGGAGGCGAUUUAUUUCUCCUUUAACUUGGGGGGGAAUGGGUUUGCCUCCGUCUAUCAUCACAUAAAAUCUAAUUUAUUUAAAACUGAAUGUAAAAUUGGAUGUAACACAUCUAAAUACAAAGUUUCAACAACGGAUCUCUUGGCUCUCGCAUCGAUGAAGAACGCAGCGAAAUGCGAUAAGUAAUGUGAAUUGCAGAAUUCAGUGAAUCAUCGAAUCUUUGAACGCACCUUGCGCUCCUUGGUAUUCCUUGGAGCAUGCCUGUUUGAGUAUCAUGAAAUUCUCAAAGCAAAGUCUUUUUGUUAAUUCAAUUAGCUCUGCGCUUUGGAUUUGGGGGUUUUGCAGAUUAAAUUCUGCUCCUCUUAAAUGUAUUAGCUGGAUCUCCAUGAAACUUGGUUCCACUCGGCGUGAUAAGUUAUCACUCGUCGAGGACACCCGUAAAAAGGUGGCCAGGCUUUUUUCAAGGAUGAGCCGCUUCUAAUAGUCCAUUGACUUUGGACAAAACUUUAUGAUCUGAUCUCAAAUCANGUAGRNASKAYYCGYWGAACUUAAGCAUAUCAAUAACCCGGAGAAGAAAGGAACAUUAAUGAAAUGAAUCUAGAGUUGGUUGUAGCUGGCUUCUCUCCUCCUAGAGGUUUGGAGUAUGUGCACACCUUCUCUUUCAUCCACACACCCCUUGUGCACUUGUGAGACGGAGGCGAUUUAUUUCUCUUUAACUUGGGGGGGAAAUGGGUUUGCUCGUCUAUCAUCACAUAAAUCUAAUUUAUUUAAAACUGAAUGUAAAAUUGGAUGUACCAUCUAAUACAAGUUUCACACGGAUCUCUUGGCUCUGCAUCAUGAGAACGCACAAUGCAUUAGUUAUGGUGAUUGCGAUUCAUGAUCCUCGAUCUUUGACGCACUUGGCCUCUUGCUAUUUCUUGGAACAUGUCUGUUUGAAUAUACUGAUUUCAGCAGCUUUUUUGUUAUUCAUAGCUGCAUGGAAUGGGAUGCAUAUCUGCCUUAAGGUUAACCUGAUCUGACUUGUUACGGUAGUUAUCUCAGACUAGGGACGUUGUCAGAGCCUUAAGCCU